UACUAAAAAAAAACCAUAAAACUAGCUAGUUUUUUUUAUUAAAAAAAAAGUGGUAAGUGAAGAAACUUCAGUAAGAGAAUCACACUGACAAAACAAAGCAAGGUGAAGAACGAGUAGAAAUACCAACAGCUAGGGAAAAUAACAAGCCACAAAAACAAGAAACAUUUCCAAACUACUUACCAAAACCAGAAAUGCUUACCAUGCCUCUAACCAUGGAUAAAAAAGCGACACACUAUAUAUAUGUAGCCAUGCCUUCGAAGCUACUAUAUUUGGAAAACGGUUAAUACUCCUCCGUGAUCAUUUGAUAAGAUCAAACCACACCCUCUCCUCCUGCCUCAAAUCAUGGAGCGCUCGGUAUCGGCCCGGGUACACCGCCUGUGCAAGUCUCAUAAUCGCAUUCAAGUGCUGGAGACCUCGCAAUCACUAUCAGGUUGGAACAUGAUACAAAAACAAUGAUAACAAGGAGUAUUAUUGUCAAGUAUCGGUUAUUUCCUCGAGACCCCAUUUAUGAAAUGAAAAGGAAAAAGCUGGAACUUCUUUAGGGAACGUAUAAAAGGCGUAGAGAGCUAGCUAGUUUGCAAGAGUAGGGGCAAAGAUGGCGAGGGUAGCUAGGUGGUGUGAUAUACACACACAAAAAAGAAAAAAAGAAAAAAAGAAAU
rnacentral:lncRNA from 1 species